rnacentral:lncRNA from 1 species
UUAUAAUUCGUCCAUUUUACUGGAUGGAAUUUCAAUGAAUUAGAUUUACAAGAACCAUUAACUAGCUUUUUCAAUACAAAGUGAAACAUUGCAUUUAGUUUUCUGGUUUUUAUCCCAUUCUAUUUUGGUAGUUCGACCGUGGAAUUUAUUUUUUUCUUGUAUUUCCGGAAUAUGAGUGUGUGACUUGGUAUAAUUGAUCCUAUGGCUAGUACAGAGAAUAGAUCUGUCAUCUUGAUAGAGAUGGUUUUACUUCGUCGGAUAUUCAUUUUAGUAUCUGGAGCACGGAAUAUAUGAAAUAGAUUACUAUUAGAACUAUGAUUCAUACUUAAUAGUCAGACCUCGUGGCCGGACUUCAAAAAUUUUUUUAAAGAGUUAGAAGUUAUAAAUAGAAUUUUUUUUAUUUCAA